rnacentral:lncRNA from 1 species
CAAACAUUCUUUGAAUUGUAGUCAUAACAUUCUAAGGAGGGUUCAUCACUGAUAAACAAUGAAUUGGUAUGCUUUGUAAAACAUGUUUUAUUAGAACAACCCUUGUAGCUUAUCAUUCCAUCCUUGCAAUUUUCCACUUAUUUUACUCAUCAUUGUCUGAUAAUAAUCUUUCUUUUUUCUCAUAUAGAAGAUGGUACACCCCAAAUAAGUUAAAGGGAAAUCCUUU